GAUGAACGCUGGCGGCGUGCCUAAUACAUGCCGGUCGAGCGAACAGACGAGGAGCUUGCUCCUCUGACGUUGGCGGCGGACGGGUGAGUAACACGUGGAUAACCUACCUAUAAGACUGGGAUAACUUCGGGAAACCGGAGCUAAUACCGGAUAAUAUAUUGAACCGCAUGGUUCAAUAGUGAAAGACGGUUUUGCUGUCACUUAUAGAUGGAUCCGCGCCGCAUUAGCUAGUUGGUAAGGUAACGGCUUACCAAGGCGACGAUGCGUAGCCGACCUGAGAGGGUGAUCGGCCACACUGGAACUGAGACACGGUCCAGACUCCUACGGGAGGCAGCAGUAGGGAAUCUUCCGCAAUGGGCGAAAGCCUGACGGAGCAACGCCGCGUGAGUGAUGAAGGUCUUCGGAUCGUAAAACUCUGUUAUUAGGGAAGAACAAAUGUGUAAGUAACUAUGCACGUCUUGACGGUACCUAAUCAGAAAGCCACGGCUAACUACGUG
rnacentral:rRNA from 1 species